rnacentral:rRNA from 1 species
AGGCAGCAGUUGGGAAUCUUCCGCAAUGGGCGAAAGCCUGACGGAGCAACGCCGCGUGAGUGAUGAAGGUCUUCGGAUCGUAAAACUCUGUUAUUAGGGAAGAACAAAUGUGUAAGUAACUAUGCACGUCUUGACGGUACCUAAUCAGAAAGCCACGGCUAACUACGUGCCAGCAGCCGCGGUAAUACGUAGGUGGCAAGCGUUAUCCGGAAUUAUUGGGCGUAAAGCGCGCGUAGGCGGUUUUUUAAGUCUGAUGUGAAAGCCCACGGCUCAACCGUGGAGGGUCAUUGGAAACUGGAAAACUUGAGUGCAGAAGAGGAAAGUGGAAUUCCAUGUGUAGCGGUGAAAUGCGCAGAGAUAUGGAGGAACACCAGUGGCGAAGGCGACUUUCUGGUCUGUAACUGACGCUGAUGUGCGAAAGCGUGGGGAUCAAACAGGAUUAGAUACCCUAGUAGUCC